rnacentral:rRNA from 1 species
GACGAACCGAGCGAACGUUGUUCGGAAUAAUCGUGCUUAAAGGGCGCGUAGGCGGGCCGCCAAGUUCGAGGUGAAAUCCUCCGGCUCAACCGGAGAACUGCCUCGAAUACUGGAGCCUCGAGGCGGGUAGGGGCACGCGGAACUGUGGGUGGAGCGGUGAAAUGCGUUGAUAUCCACAGGAACUCCGGUGGCGAAGGCGGCGUGCUGGAUCUCUUCUGACGCUGAGGCUCGAAAGCUAGGGGAGCAAACGGG